UACGUAGGCAGCAAGCGUUGUUCGGAAUUACUGGGCGUAAAGGGUGCGUAGGUGGCGGGGCAAGUCUGGUGUGAAAUCCCGGGGCUCAACCCUGGAACUGCACUGGAUACUGCUUUGCUAGAGUACUGGAGAGGGAACUGGAAUUUACGGUGUAGCAGUGAAAUGCGUAGAUAUCGUAAGGAAGACCAGUGGCGAAGGCGAGUUCCUGGACAGUUACUGACACUGAGGCACGAAGGCCAGGGGAGCAAACGGG
rnacentral:rRNA from 1 species